GGGGGCGUCACGGUUUCGACGUGUCCGGAGACGGCUGAGUAGCGUGCCGAGGUCUCGGACCUCGCUAAACCCCGAGACAACCAACAUAGCUGCCAACGACAAUCUGGCGCUGGCCGCCUAGGUAAACCCUAGCGGUCCGUCUUCCGGGAAGCCCGCCCGAGGCGUUCCGGCAAGGCGUCACCAAUUCGGGCUCAGCCUUUCGAGUCGUCGCCGCUCGAGAGGUGAAACCAACCCGGCGACUCAGCCUACGACUGCGCGUUCGCGGAGCAUUCGCAGGUGAAGAUCAACCGCGUUCUACGCACGUAGAAGCUCUUCUCGAUCCGGUUCGCGGACGCGGGUUCGACUCCCGCCGCCUCCAUUC
rnacentral:tmRNA from 1 species